CGGGACGGGUGAGUAACGCGUGGGUAACCUGCCUCAUACAGGGGGAUAACAGUUGGAAACGACUGCUAAUACCGCAUAAGCGCACAGGAUCGCAUGAUCCGGUGUGAAAAACUCCGGUGGUAUGAGAUGGACCCGCGUCUGAUUAGCCAGUUGGCAGGGUAACGGCCUACCAAAGCGACGAUCAGUAGCCGACCUGAGAGGGUGACCGGCCACAUUGGGACUGAGACACGGCCCAA
rnacentral:rRNA from 1 species